rnacentral:rRNA from 1 species
AUUGAACGCUGGCGGCAGGCCUAACACAUGCAAGUCGAACGAGUGGCGGACGGGUGAGUAAUGUCUGGGAAACUGCCUGAUGGAGGGGGAUAACUACUGGAAACGGUAGCUAAUACCGCAUACCAUCAGAUGUGCCCAGAUGGGAUUAGCUAGUUGGUGGGGUAACGGCUCACCAAGGCGACGAUCCCUAGCUGGUCUGGGAGGAGGACCAGCCACAAUGGAAACUAGACACGGGCCAAGCUCCUACGGGAGGCAGCAGGGGGGAAAAUUGCAAAAUGUGCGCAAGCCUGAUGCAGCCAUGCCGCGUGUUUGAAGAAGGCCUUCGGGUUGGAAAGGACCUUCAGCGGGGAGGCGUUACCCGCAGAAGAAGCACCGGCUAACUCCGUGCCAGGAGCCGCGGUAAUUC